rnacentral:lncRNA from 1 species
CAAAAGUGGCCAAUGCAAAAAGUCACUUUUCAACUGGACUGUUAAAUUGGAUCAGGGGCAAAAUUGUCCAAAUGUCAAAAUAUUUGGAAUUUUGGAAUGGGACUUUUUGUAACACCUCAGGAAUGGCAUUUGGAGUGUGUUUGAAUCCUCAUUUCAUGGCUAGGCCUCAUAAUUUGAGUUUUGGUUUGAAGAAUGAAAGUGCAUAAAUUGGAC